CUGCCACUGAAGAGUCCCACAAUAGGACAAAACAACCGUCCAGUAC
rnacentral:hammerhead_ribozyme from 1 species